rnacentral:rRNA from 1 species
GAAUUUUGCGCAAUGGGGGAAACCCUGCCGCAGCAAUGCCGCGUGGAGGACGAAGGUCUUCGGAUUGUAAACUCCUUUUGCGGGGGAAAAAUGGCGGCGUGAAUAACGCCGCUUGAUGGUACUCCGCGAAUAAGCCACGGCUAACUUCGUGCCAGCAGCCGCGGUAAGACGAAGGUGGCAAGCGUUACUCGGAAUUACUAGGCGUAAAGCGCGAGCAGGCGGUUUGGUAAGUCUGUUGUGAAAGCCCCGGGCUCAACCCGGGGAGGCCAAUGGAUACUACCAGACUUGAAUACGGGAGAGGUCACUGGAAUUCCUGGUGUAGCGGUGAAAUGCGUAGAUAUCAGGAGGAACACCGAAGGCGAAGGCAGGUGACUGGACCGUUAUUGACGCUGAGUCGCGAAAGCCGGGGGAGCAAAC